GGUACCUAUUUAUCUAGUUGUAUCUGCAGCAUCUGGUGGGUUGCCCCCAGUUCGCACCGGUUCUAUAGAACCGGUAGUAAAACCAGCGGGAGGCUCCGCCCACCGACCCCGAUGUUAUAAAAUGCUUCUGCGCAUGUGUGCGGCCCCAUUGCGAACUGGUAGUAAAGUGUUUGAAAUGACUUCUCUCCCACAACACCAUCACUAUUUCUCAUCCCCGAAUAGAUGCUAAUUUAUUUUUUUCUCUGCUAUCCCCUGUGUAUUCUACGUGCUAUUACACAGCGGCAUUGAGGAUAUGGGUACUUUAAAGCUCAUUUCAAUAAGGACUUGCCAGAGCCAUACUAUUAAUGAACCGUUAUGCUUAAUCUGCAUUAAACAGAUUUGCAAAAUAUG